rnacentral:rRNA from 1 species
AAAUUGAAGAGUUUGAUCAUGGCUCAGAUUGAACGCUGGCGGCAGGCCUAACACAUGCAAGUCGAACGGUAGCACGGGGAGCUUGCUCCUGGGUGACGAGUGGCGGACGGGUGAGUAAUGUCUGGGAAACUGCCUGAUGGAGGGGGAUAACUACUGGAAACGGUAGCUAAUACCGCAUAACGUCGCAAGACCAAAGAGGGGGACCUUCGGGCCUCUUGCCAUCAGAUGUGCCCAGAUGGGAUUAGCUAGUAGGUGGGGUAAUGGCUCACCUAGGCGACGAUCCCUAGCUGGUCUGAGAGGAUGACCAGCCACACUGGAACUGAGACACGGUCCAGACUCCUACGGGAGGCAGCAGUGGGGAAUAUUGCACAAUGGGCGCAAGCCUGAUGCAGCCAUGCCGCGUGUAUGAAGAAGGCCUUCGGGUUGUAAAGUACUUUCAGCGAGGAGGAAGGCGGUGAGGUUAAUAACCUCAUCGAUUGACGUUACUCGCAGAAGAAGCACCGGCUAACUCCGUGCCAGCAGCCGCGGUAAUACGGAGGGUGCAAGCGUUAAUCGGAAUUACUGGGCGUAAAGCGCACGCAGGCGGUCUGUCAAGUCGGAU